rnacentral:misc_RNA from 1 species
UCAUUCUGUAUUUCAUGAGUGUCGGUCGCGCGCGUAGCCCCGUUUUGCUGUAUUUACGAGGAUCUGGAAACGGUGCAGUUGCUGUCGUGGUUGUAACGCUCGGAAGAUUUGCUGGUGAGAUCUGGACGGAAAGUGAUCUGUCAAUUGAGCUGCAAGCCUAGCAGUUUAGUUGUUAGUCAAGACAGCCCAACGUCCUGCUAGACGCUCGGUACGUGACUCGUCACCCAAGUCGCACAUCAGGACCUGUCAGGAAUUCUAAACGAUCCAGCCAAACCAGGACGAUUGAUUUCCCCGAGUCCCCAAGAAUUUCAGCGACUGGGUUUCCCGCAUUCCAGCUCCGGAUAGACAACAUAUUUCUUCAGUUCAGAUCUUAAGAAUUGCCCACCCCAUUCCCUACAAGUUUGACGCACUUUCAUUUUUAGCGAGUCCCAAUCAGUCAUCUUGGACGUAAACAGAAAUUUCAAAUUAUGCUGGCUUGGGCCGAAAGCCAGACAAUAUCCUUGUAUACAUGGCAGCAGUCAUUGGGAAAAUUGAGCCUUUUUGUUGACAGAUACCCGCUAGCACCCCCACGGCUCUUUGAGAAAAUGUCUGCAAGACAGAGAUAAAUUUCUCUAGCAGCGCCUGACUUGUGUAAUUUGUCAUGUGAAAGAUCUGGCAUCAUCUGCAUUCUGUAGAAAUUCAGGAUAAUUUUUUUUUUGUCGGCGUAUCAGAUGCAUUUCGGAGAAGUGAAAUGAACAGCGCUGGAUGAUUAUGACAAGGGGAGAUUAUUUGUGAGCUCAGAAAUCCUCUGUUGACCAAAAGUCGGAUUUCCUGACUGAGAAUGAGGCAUGGGUUUUUGUUGAGUGCUUUUUGAGAGGGGUCAACCAUGGCAACAUGAAACGGUCUGAAGAACUGCGGAGCAAAAUGAUGAUGAGCAUGGUUGAUCUGUGGAAUUGACACAAAAAAAUAUUAAAAUUCUCUCAGUGUGUCUCAAACUGGACAAGAGCUUUGCUAGAAUAUAUGAAUGAAAUUUAAGCAGUCCAAAAUGAAAACGGGCGAAGAAAGUCGACAUUUUUUACCGUCACGGUCGGCAGCGAUUGUAGGAUUUUAUUUGCGCGCAAGAUGACCGGAGCGUGUUGUGGCACGCGAUGCGGUAACCAGUGAUGGAUUACCAGCACAGGAAGGGGUACAACGGGGGCGCGGCGCAACCUGCGAGGGCGACAUUCCUGCGCUGGCUGCAGCGCAACGGCAUCCUGAUGCAGCUGAUCAUGUUACUGAUCGUCGUGAUGGUCUUCAUCCCGCUGGUCACGCACUACUACCUCAGCAACGCCGAGCUGCCGGCGACGUCCCGUCGGAGCCAACCCCAGCAACUCUCCUUGGAGAACCUCCAAGCGAUGAAGCCCCAGGAGCUCAAAGCGCGCCUGGAAGAGCUCUACCGCAUCCGAAGCUCGGUCCAGCAGGAACUCCUGGGUCUGGAAGCCCGGCGCAAGGACAUGCAGAACCAGAUAGACGAGUAUAGCGCCCUCAUUGCCCAGAGGCAGAGGGAGAACAAGGAAUCGCAAAGCACCCUCGACAAGGUCAACUUCGAGAUUGUUCAGAAGCGCAAAAGUUACGAGGAAGUCAUACAGCGUUCUAUGCUCCAUAUUGGAGCCCCGAAACAAAUCCUACCCCAGUUGGACGACAAUGUUGACGUGGAACCACCGCAAGCGAGCGCGCAGUGUCGGCAGCACAAUUGCUUCGAUUACUCGCGCUGCUCACUCACGUCGCAUUUCCCGGUCUACAUUUAUGCUAGUGAGGACGUCACGCUUUCGAAACAACCGCUGGACGCGUUUGUUCGGACUAGCGUUGCCAACGUCAUGACGACCAACCCCCACGUCACGUUCGAUCCCAACAUCGCCUGCGUGUACCUGGUCCUGAUCGGAGACACCGCAGACCACUGGCAGAGCGCGUCCAGCCUGGAGUUGGAGACUAGCCUCCGGAAGCUUCCAUUGUGGAAGGGGGACGGCCGGAACCACGUUUUGCUAAACCUUGCCAGAAAUGUGUCUGCGACAAACGUACUGUACGGCAUGAACACCGACCGCGCCAUUUUAGUGCAGUCCAACUUUGACGCGGCGCAAUUCAGACCCGGGUUUGACAUCGUCGCGCCGAUGCUUCUAGGAAAAGAAGCGUCAUUUGACUGGAAAGAAACACCCCCUCUCGUCCCAGCCAAACGAAAAUACCUUCUGUCUUUCCAGGGGAUAUUAUCCCCCUACGCCAGUAAACAGUCCAACCACGGACACGCGAACGUCGAGAACGUCAUGAUGAGUCGACGCUUAAAAGACUCCAACAGAACUCAAGUCAACUCUGUGAGCGACUUCAUACAAGAAGAACUCCACAAACUCAAAUCCCUUCAGGUAGAUAAUUUUUAUAUCGAGUUCAAAUGCCCGCCGCUUAACGCCGACCCGGCCAGCGUCGACCUAUCAGAGUGGUGGAUAUGUAGGACAAAAGAUAGAUUAGCGAUUUUAAAGCAGUCAACGUAUGCAUUAAUUAUAGGCCCCGACGAACACAUAGUGUCGUCAACAAUGCUACAGAUGCGACUUUACGAAGCGUUAAAGCAUGGAGCGAUUCCGGUAAUCCUAGGGGAACACGUGGAGCUUCCGUUCGGCGAGUUCAUCCAAUGGCGGAAAGCCGCAAUCAUAUUGCCAAAAGCGCGAGCGUCGGAGUUAUAUUUCUACUUAAAAACCAUCCAAGACAAUGAUAUUGUAAAACUUCGCGGGCAGGGCUGGUUCGUCUGGACAACAUACCUGAGCUCGGCCAAGGCUGUCUUAGACACCAUCUUGGCGACCCUAAGAACGAGGCUGAACAUCCCCGCCAGCAUCAUGCCGGCCGAGCAGUCCGUCAACCUCUUCCCCGGGGGCGCCCCGCUUAAACAAAAACGGGCGCAGGGCAUGAUGCCCGAGUCGGACGAUUUUUUCCCGCCGCCCGAAAUCCCCUUCCCUUCACCGAAAUUCCUGCGGAAUUUCACCUACAGCACCAUCGACCGCGACGUCAACUGGAACACGGCGCCUGGGCCCUUCAAGCUUUUUCCCAACACGCCCUUCGACCCCGUACUCCCUUCCGAUGCCAAGUUUAUCGGAUCAGGGCUCGGUUUCAGACCGAUAGGCAAAGGUUCGGGGGGUACAGGGAAGGAAUUUCAGGAGGCGCUCGGCGGCAACAUUCCCGGGGAGCAGUUUACCAUCAUCAUCCUGACGUACGAGAGAGACGCUUUGUUGAUGACAUCACUGGAAAGGCUCAUGGGAUUACCGUACUUGAAUAAGGUUAUAGUGGUAUGGAACUCUCCCAAGCCGGCCGCAGCUGACAUCAUUUGGCCCGAAAUUCACGUCCCAAUAAAGGUUGUACGGACCAAGAAGAACAGUCUCAACAAUCGGUUUCUUCCUUACGACGAGAUCGAGACGGAGGCAAUUCUCUCUCUGGACGACGACGCCCAUCUCAGACACGAUGAGAUUCUCUUUGGCUUCAGAGUUUGGCGUGAGAACAGAGACCAGAUUGUAGGCUUUCCAGGCCGCUACCACGCCUGGGACGUCAACCUCAACAACGGCUUCCUGUACAACUCCAACUACUCCUGUGAGCUGUCUAUGGUGCUGACUGGUGCAGCGUUCAUUCACAAGUAUUAUGCCUACCUCUACAGUUACGUCAUGCCACAGGUCAUCCGAGACAAAGUUGAUGAAUACAUGAACUGCGAGGACAUCGCCAUGAACUUCCUGGUGUCCCACAUCACCAGGAAACCACCCGUUAAGGUGACCUCCCGUUGGACCUUCCGUUGCCCCUCCUGCCCCGAAGCGCUAUCGCAGGACGACUCGCACUUCAAGGAACGCCACCGGUGCAUUCAGUUCUUCAACCAGGUUUACGGGUACAUACCCCUGCUCUAUACGCAGUUCCGCGUGGACUCGGUGCUUUUCAAGACGCGGGUUCCCCACGAUAAACAAAAGUGCUUCAAAUUCGUCUAGCGACCUCUGCUUUCUCAACCAGUUCGCGCCGGAGGCCGUGAUGACGCGCACUGGCUGUUUUUGUGCACAGGCACGGCUGACGGAUCACGACGUCAAGAUUGCCUCGACUCGGCUCCGGGUGACGUCUAAAAACGCUAAUGCCUCAUGCCUUUUGUACGCGCACACACAGUCCGUGUUGUCUGUUGAGGCGGACCGUGUUUUGGCCGUUGUACACCGCCAAUUGUUGUACAAUUUACGCUCCAGUGCACGCCCUGGAGUAUUGAAACGUGAGGUUUCGGCAAGAAAUAUUGUACAAAUUUACUGUUGAAAUGACUCUUGCGAAUCAGUAUUUUUGGUGCUUGGCUGUAUAUCAGAAGUUGGCUGGAAAAUUUUGCCUCUUGAAAAUUUGGAAAUUUUCGGCAAAACUAAACCCGGCGCGAAGUGGUUAAAAAAGCAUAUGUAGUGAGUUCGUACAGAACACAAAAGUAAUUUAUUUUGUUUUUUUCCUCACUUAUUAAAGAACAUUAAGUGUGCAUUGUAAAUACAGUGAAAGUACGAAAUUCCUAUUUUUGUUGUUGUUCGCAUCAUUUUUUAGCAAAUUUACUUUAUUUUUAAAAUUGCCAGAUUCUUUCGUUAACCCUCUCCAACUGAAUCUUUACUGCUACUUCAACGUUAUUUUGGCUAAUUGCUCAUACAUUAAUUUGGCCUGGACACUGUCUGACAAAUGAGGGCGCUGUUUGAGUCAAACAGGACUAGGGCUGUCCAAUUUUGAUUAAUUUAGUAUUCGAUUACUCAAACUGCGUUUGGCCGAAUAUUCAGAUAUUCAAAACUGCCAGCUGCAAAUGCUUGCUGCGCCAGUAAAAAGUUGCACGAACAGUGUGCCAGUUACAAUUUGAUUUUGGCGAUUCGUAUAGAGCGCUGGAUUGUAUUGCAGUAAGUAUUUUUCUAACUGUAAAAGGGAUUUAACCUGCUAAAAGGAUGUAAACAAUGAACUGCCGUCAACAAAAAAGUUAUAGUCGACAAAAAAAGUGGCGCCUGACAAUAAAGCACCACAACUUUACGAUAACAUAGCAUUACAGUCAUGUGUGUAUGUGGGUAUCUAUUUUGUUUUGGAAUAUUGAAACCGGAAGAAAGCUAUUUGAAUUAUUCGGUAGUAAAUCAAAUAUUCGACUACUGGUAUAUUUAGGACAUCCCUAAACAGGACUGGACACCAUCUGACAAUAGGUGGCGCUAUUCAUGACAACGCUCAUGUCCUGACUCACUGAUUUUUUAUGCAUGUUGUCGCGUCUUGAAAACGUUUAUAAUGUUCAUUUAUUUCUUUGUAUUUAUUUCUUUGGUGAAAACUAUCGUGGUGUCGGUAAAUGACCACAGAUUUUUUUGCUAGAAUUUGUGUCUUGCCAUUUUUUGAGGGAGGGUAGGUAAUAUUCAUGUAUUAUAUUUUCUAUUGUUGUACAUGUAGAUGAAUGUAUAGAAUUUGGACGCUACUACUUAUUCCUUGAAAUUGGUGGCACACUGCAUUGUGAAUCGCCUGAACAAAAGGCAAUUAAAGUUUGAUUGAUGCAUGUGUAACAACUUGUCUCAAGAGGGCGCCAUUUGCUCACUGUUUAUAAAGUUGAAUAAAACUCCGGAUCUCCAUUGUUAUAUUAAUACCCAAGUCCCCAAAACAAAAGGAAACGUGAUUUUUAGUUUCCAAUGGAAGUCUUACUGCAUAAAAAAAAAGGAACAAUGGUCGUACUUUAUUUUAAAAAAAAAUUGAUUAUAUAUAUGUUGAUCUUUUUGUUAUCAGAAGGCAUAUUAAGUGCUCUUUGAUAUGUGCAAAAUAACAACCAGGUUUAAUUUUUAAGAUCUCAUUUAUUAAACCAUAAACCCAACAUUUAACAUUCUUUGAGUGUAUAUCAGAAAUUGGAGUAUUUUUUAUUCAAAUGGGAUAUUUAUUUGCCCUCUUUAUUGAAAAAUAAAGUGUCUGCACAAGACCUGUAAUCCUUC